CAAACUGUAGAAAGAAGAAAGUCACCUAAAGAACAGCAUCCCAAUAAAUAUUUUCAGUAGUUACUGACAGAAACAUUUGCUUUAAAGGCUUUCAUAAAUACGAGUUCACCUUUUGAUGUUCAUUGCAUCAACAAAAUUUUGAGCAGGAGACAAGAUUCAGGAGCAAAUUGUCUAGUUACUUCUUUCCCUUUUUCAUUUGUGGGUCGAUAUCUGAAACAGAAAAAUCAUUGUGGAGCUGAAGGAAAGCAAUUUCACUCAUUUGCCUGUGAAUAAAUUUGAUGGAAACCAUCGAUUGGAUGAAAUAUGAAAACAAAGCAUAUGAUUGGUUGAAACUGACUAAAAAUAUCACAGACUACACUGCAAGAGUUUACUUGUAACUGCAAUAGCUGACAGAGAGGAUAAGUUUUCGUCCUAUAUAAAAACGUAAAACAAUGUACAUCGCUACUCUCCAGAUUAUUUUACUUUUUCUAAUAAAAGUCAUUUACUGCAAUUAUAAUGAUGACAAAAAUGCCAUGUUGAAGUUAAAAGACAAAGCAAAAGAAAGGUUUGUGGUAAUCACUUGUAUUAUCAUUUGAUAUUUUAGAUACGAUAUGU